CAAGGAAUCUUCCGCAAUGGGGGCAACCCUGACGGAGCAACGCCGCGUGGGGGAUGACGCCCUUCGGGGUGUAAACCCCUUUUCUGCGGGAAGAAGGUGGGGCAACCCACUUGACGGUACCGCAGGAAGAAGGACCGGCUAACUACGUGCCAGCAGCCGCGGUAAUACGUAGGGUCCGAGCGUUGUCCGGAGUUACUGGGCGUAAAGCGCGCGUAGGCGGCGGUGCUGGCCCGGCGUGAAAGCCCCCGGCUCAACCGGGGAGGGUCGUCGGGGACCGCACCGCUUGAGGGCGGUAGGGGCUGGUGGAAUGCCUGGUGUAGUGGUGAAAUGCGUAGAGAUCAGGCGGAACACCCGUGGCGAAGGCGGCCAGCUGGGCCGUCCCUGACGCUGAGGCGCGAAGGCGUGGGGAGCGAACGGG
rnacentral:rRNA from 2 species